GGGGGCGAAACGGAUUCGACGGGGAUAUUGAAGCUUAUUGUUGCAUGCCGAGUUGUCAUCAGCUCGUAACCUUGAUGGCCUUUAAAUAUAAUCGCAGACGAUUAUAAUUACGCACUCGCAGCGUAGACUGCAGUGCCGUUCCACCAGCUUCUGCCUGCAUAGCUGGAACCGGAGCGUCGACUUGCGGGCUGGCUGUUUGAGUACGCCUGAGACUUAAACAGUAAGAUCUUUUCUGGCUGGCUCCCGGCUAUCCCUGUUUCGGGUGAGCCCCGGGAGCAAGAUACUAUCCCGAAACUAAGCAUGUAGAGACAUAAGGGGAGAAUUUCCGGACGCGGGUUCGACUCCCGCCGCCUCCACCA
rnacentral:tmRNA from 1 species